rnacentral:rRNA from 1 species
CCCUUAGAUGUUCUGGGCAGCACGCGCGCUAAAAUGGUCUUCGCAAACGGAUGCAUUCUCGAAGGAGAAUGCCAAUCUUGGAAUCUAUGCCUUGGUCGGGACAGUUGCUUGCAAUUUUUCGACUCGAACCAGGAAUUCCUUGUAAUCGUGAUUCAUCACAUCACGAUGAAUACGUCCCUGCCCUUUGUACACACCGCCCGUCGCUCCUACCGAUCGAAGAGUUAGGUGAAUUGUUUUGAUCGAUAAGAUUUGACUAUGGUCAACUCUCGUUGUGAAAUUCUGUGAAUCUGACUGUUUAGAGGAAGGAAAAGUCGUAACA